GACGGAGGGUGCAAGCGUUGUUCGGAUUGACUGGGCGUAAAGGGCGUGUAGGCGGUCGGUCAAGUCUGAUGUGAAAGCCCGGGGCUCAGCUCCGGAAGUGCAUCGGAAACUAGCCGGCUGGAGCGCGAUAGAGGAGGGCGGAAUUCCUGGUGUAGCGGUGAAAUGCGUAGAUAUCGGGAGGAACACCUGUGGCGAAAGCGGCGCACUGGACCACAACUGACGCUGAGGCGCGAAAGCUAGGGGAGCAAACAGG
rnacentral:rRNA from 1 species